GACCCACCUGAUUCCAUGCCGAACUCAGAAGUGAAACACAACAGCGCCGAUGGUAGUGUGGGGUCUCCCCAUGUGAGAGUAGGACAUCGCCAGGC
rnacentral:rRNA from 1 species